UACGGAGGGUGCGAGCGUUGUCCGGAUUUAUUGGGUUUAAAGGGUGCGUAGGCGGCUUUUUAAGUCUGGGGUGAAAGCCCGCUGCUCAACAGCGGAACUGCCCUGGAUACUGGAGAGCUUGAGUACAGACGAGGUUGGCGGAAUGGACAGAGUAGCGGUGAAAUGCAUAGAUACUGUCCAGAACCCCGAUUGCGAAGGCA
rnacentral:rRNA from 1 species